rnacentral:rRNA from 1 species
GACGAACGCUGGCGGCGCGCCUAACACAUGCAAGUCGAACGGAGCUGAGAGAAGCUUGCUUUUCUUAACUUAGUGGCGAACGGGUGAGUAACGCGUGAGUAACCUGCCCUGGAGUGGGGGACAACAGUUGGAAACGACUGCUAAUACCGCAUAAGCCCACGAUACGGCAUGGUCUUGAGGGAAAAGGAUUUAUUCGCUUCAGGAUGGACUCGCGUCCAAUUAGCUAGUUGGUGAGGUAACGGCCCACCAAGGCGAGGAUUGGUAGCCGGACUGAGAGGUUGAACGGACACAUUGGCACUGAGACACGGCCCAGAAUCCUACGGGAGGCAGCAGUGGGGGAUAUUGCACAAUGGGGGAAACCCUGAUGCAGCGACGACGCGUGGAGGAAGAAGGUUUUCGGAUUGUAAACUCCGGUCGUUAGGGACGAUAAUGACGGUACCUAAAAAGAAAGCACCGGCUAACUACGUG